rnacentral:misc_RNA from 1 species
UUAUAAAACAAAACUGUUUCUUUCUUUUAGCCAAUGAAGGACUUAUUUAUUUUUAUAAAUUUCAAGGACUAAAGUGUUUGAUUUUGAGAACAGGCGGACUGGAGUAUGUAUUAGGCCUAACUUCUGGAUCCCUUUUUCCCCCUCUUUAGGUUACUAUACAUUUGCAUAUCUUGUGCACUCAAGGACAUUGCUCUGCACUACAGAAUAGGG